rnacentral:rRNA from 1 species
AGUGAACGCUGGCGGUAGGCCUACCCCAUGCAAUUCGAACGGCAGCCCAUUAAGAGCUUGCUCUUACGGUUGGCGAUUGCCGUACGGGUGAGGAUUCCAUCGAAAUCUCCUUUUUCGUGGGGGAUACCUUAGGGAAACUUCCGCUAAUCCCGCAUCCUCCCUCCGGUUGAAAGCAGGGGAUCUUCGGCCCUUCCUCGAUUUAUUGAUCCGAUGUCGGAUUAGCUAGUUGGCGGGGUAAAGGCCCACCAAGGCGACGAUCCGUAGCUGGUCUGAGAGGAUGAUCAGCCACACUGGAACUGAGACACGGUCCAGACUCCUACGGGAGGCAGCAGUGGGGAAUAUUGGACAAUGGGCGCAAGCCUGAUCCAGCCAUACCGCGUGGGUGAAGAAGGCCUUCGGGUUGUAAAGCCCUUUUGUUGGGAAAGAAAAGCAGCAGGUUAAUACCCCGCUGUUCUGACGGUACCCAAAGAAUAAGCACCGGCUAACUUCGUG